CCCUUAGAUGUUCUGGGCCGCACGCGUGCUACACUGAGUGGAUCAGCGGGUCAGGUUGCGCGAAAGCGUUUCCUAAUCUUGAAAUCCGCUCGUGAUGGGGAUUGACGGUUGCAAUUUUCUGUCAUGAACGAGGAAUACCUUGUAAGCGCGGGUCAUCAUCCCGCGCUGAAUACGUCCCUGCCCUUUGUACACACCGCCCGUCGCUCCUACCAAUUGAGUGGUCCGGUGAGGCUUUGGGAUCUGAGCGGAAAGAGCGUUUCGCUCGUUCUGCCCGGAAAACUCAGUCGAACCUUAUCAUUUAGAGGAAGGAGAAGUCGUAACA
rnacentral:rRNA from 1 species